rnacentral:rRNA from 1 species
GAUGAACGCUAGCUACAGGCUUAACACAUGCAAGUCGAGGGGAAACGACAUCGAAAGCUUGCUUUUGGUGGGCGUCGACCGGCGCACGGGUGAGUAACGCGUAUCCAACCUGCCCACCACUUGGGGAUAACCUUGCGAAAGUAAGACUAAUACCCAAUGAUAUCCCACGAAGGCAUCCGAAUGGGAUUAAAGAUUUAUCGGUGAUGGAUGGGGAUGCGUCUGAUUAGCUUGUUGGCGGGGUAACGGCCCACCAAGGCUACGAUCAGUAGGGGUUCUGAGAGGAAGGUCCCCCANAUUGGAACUGAGACACGGUCCAAACUCCUACGGGAGGCAGCAGUGAGGAAUAUUGGUCAAUGGGCGAGAGCCUGAAACCAGCCAAGUAGCGUGCAGGACGACGGCCCUAUGGGUUGUAAACUCGCUUUUAUAAGGGAAUAAAGUGAGCCUCGUGA